CAGGCCUAUGUGUGGGGGCUCCCAGUGGCAAGCAGCUGUAGGCAGGGUGUAGAGAGGUUGUAGGGUGUAGGCUGGGGCCUGGCUGUGGGUCUGCAGGGUGUUGGGAGGUGGGGGACUCUCAGCAGGUCACUGGCUCCUGUGGUACUGUCAGUAAGAUGCAAACAGCAGGACUCAGAGUAUGAAGUAGUUGCUUUCCAAGUCCACAUCAGUGGUUACUGGGGCACUGGGAGAGCUCAGACUUCUCAGAGCUUGUUGCAGUGAUGAGGUUUCACCAUGCAUUUGCUCACCUGCUGCUGGCCCAGUGCAAUCUGCCUCUCGGUAGCUCCAGCUCUGUGAGUGCAGCUGGAUCUCAGCUCAAAGCUGGGUUGUUCCUACUGCCAGAAGUGCUGGUUUGGAGUCCCUCAGCUGAGAUCAGCUAGUUCAGGUGUGUGCUGAAGUGUGUGUGACAACAAAACCUCCUUGUUCUGCUCUCCUUUGCCCAUUUGCUGCCUCUUUACUGAGCCCCAUCAUUGCUUUUCCUUAUGAAGUUAUCACUUUUUCCCCAGCUCAGGUCCCUCUAAAGCCAACAUUUCAGGUUAACAUUGAGUACAACAGGAAAGUGUCACUAAUGCUUCAUUGAGCUUCCCAGUUUAUUUUGCCUCUGCUUUUAUUGUGCUUAUGGGGCAGGAACUUUCUUCCACCUGGAGUGGCCUGAAGGACCUGGCUGGUUCUUUGCAAACUGCUUUUCGAGUGGUGCCUAAACUGGAGUUGGUUCUGGAGAGGAAUGCAGUAGUUUUCAACCACGGGCUUUGUUGGAUGCUUUUGGAUUGGGUUUUUUUUUCAGCAGGGCCUAAGAAUAACUUCACUGUUUGAAUGUGGAGGAGAAGCUUGUGGGAGGUGGAUUGAGCAGCCAGAUUCCCGUUUGGAAAGCGAGGAGGGUUAACAUCCUUGCUCCUCAUUUCCUUAAAGCAAGAGAUCAUGUUCACCUUUGGUGGCAGGAGUGGGGUUGUGACUGUUGCCAGCUGCAGUCCCUCUGUGGGCUGGGCUUGUUUGCCCUUGGUGUUAAAAACUUAACAGUAGAGAUGUGGGUUCAGGGUGGAAGCAGUGUGUUGGGAAUCAGCCUGGGAGGCUUGUAGGGAUUCCUGGGCUUCUCUCAGUGUGUUCUUUCUGCUCCUAGGAGCUGCUUGGGAAGUGAGAAGUGGGAGGCUAUUUUAGUACCCGAUAGACCUCUCACUGCUUUGAGAGCUUGAAUGCAGCCACAAGUUGCCCUAAAUACCUGCCAGUGCUUUGGUUCUACCUAAGUGUGGGACGUUCAACACUUCCUCUGCUUUUUGGCACUUGCCUGUUAACCAAGUGUAAAACAUCAUCAUGGCCACCUCAGUCACUGCUUAGCCAAGCCAGGCCUCCAGUUAUUUUAAUCUUUCCUUGUAAAUCAAUCCCUCCAGCUGCUUCACUGGAUUUUCCUGAAUGCCUUCCAAUUUGCCAAUAUCCUUCUGAUACCCAAGAGCUUGGAGCUGGCUGUGCUUUGCAGCAGGACUUCCCCUCCCUGCUCUCUGUCUGUUCGGAUUAGGAGGAGGAAAAGCUUCACACAAACUUGGUGAACACACUCAACCUCCCACUUGCCAUUUGUCUUUUGCUGUAGCUUAACUCUUCCUUGUUGAGGGGGACUUCUAACAUUAACCUCUAUUUAUUGCUUCCAUUUCUGUUGCCCAAGGUUCCUUAGUUCCCAGUUUUCUCCAUCAGUUCCCACUCAUGGAGCUCCCACUUUGUGCUCUGAUUUCUUUCCUUCUCUUUGUGAUUUAUGGAGGUGUUAGGUGAAAACAAACUUGCUCUUGAGCCUUGCUGAGCCCACCUUGGUACGUUGUGAGUGCUGUUACUCAUUUUAAGCUGGUUGAUGGUUCCUAGUCUGGCCUAACUUGGAAGCACUGUUCUCAAAUGGAGUUUGUGAACGUGGCAUGGGGCAGGCAGAAGAUUCCCCUCUCCCCCUUGGAAAGAUAGGGAAGUUUGAGAGAGGAAGUGCAUGGGUGAUGGUUGGGAGGAAGAAAUCAAAUCCUCCUUCCAUCCUCCUUGGGCUGUUUUCAUGUGGUGAGGCAGCCAGGAGGAACUGGCAUAGCCUCACCCGGAACCAGCUGCUGCCUCUUGAUGAUGGAACCAUUUUAAACUGGUUUAGUAAAAGGCUCCAGUUGUGGCAGCCUCGUGGUGCUGGGGUCUGUAGCUGAGGAUCUCUGGGAUGGAUUUGGUUUCGGUCUCAUGUUCUGCUGCAUCAUGUGUGGAGCUUUCUCACAGCCUGUUGGGGUUUAUUUAUCCUUAUCUUAUCCCCUUCUUAGGGCCUUUUUUGACUUUCCCUUCUUUCUUCAACAUUCCCAGCACCAAGAAUUGAGGCCAGAUCCCCAAAACUGCUCUUCCCUCAUUUAGCAGCCAACUACGAGGCGUUUGGAGAGGAAACGUUGGGAGCAGAUGGACCUGGGGACCUGUUGCUUCCUAGAACUUCAUUAAGUAUUUCCCCCCACCUUUUAA